rnacentral:misc_RNA from 1 species
GAGCACACACAAAAUUUUUUUCUUCUGUAAAGAAAACUAACUUUUUUGAGGUCUAACAACAAUUUCUUCUGAUAUAUAGACGCCUCAAAAUCUCAGUAGCAUUCUCAAAAUUCACCAUUUCAAAAGCACUGGCAGCUGAUAAGCAAUUUCAAAUACAGUGUGAUUCAUUAUUGGAAGAGUUUGGCAAAAGAAUAUCCCACAUACAGAUCGUGGUUCCUGAGACAUCCCCUAAACUGAUUACUAAAUAAACGCCAUACAAUUCGUUUCACUAAAGAUGAAAACUCAAAUGUCGUCCAUUUCCUACUCACUAUAAGUUCAAAAUCAGACGGCUCAUGAACCCUUCAAAUUUUUUAUUAAACAAAAAAAAAAUACUAUGGGAAAACCAACAACAUAUCAUCAUACAAAUAAAUCGACAAUCGUACACAAUGAUAUUUACAAUUAUUCACGGACUAUUUAUCAAAUGAUACAUCAGUGAUACUUCAAUCUAAAUUGUCGUGUUUCCGUACAAAAACCAAGAACAAAAUUUCUGUUCCAAAGAAAAUCAUCCACCAAACUUUAGAUCCAAUAUCUGAUAUAACACAAGAAGAAAAACUCGAUCAUGUUUGAACGGAAAAUGAACGGAACCAUAUCACCUAAUCAAAAACCAAAAAAAC